rnacentral:misc_RNA from 1 species
ACAAAGUAAGAAGACUGUUCACCCCAUAAGACAACUUCGCUACUUGAGCUUGAAUAUUUGUAUGACUACGUUUGAGGGAUGUAAUUUUACAUUAGUAGAGACUUUGAGUGCCAAUUUUCUAUCUGCUCAAGUACAGUUCUUGGUUACUUUAUGUGCUGCAUUAUACUGUUUCUAAGAUAAACCUGUGUGUCCCUGAGAGGACAGUCCAAUGUUAUAGGCUUGGGAUCUCUAUUAAGGGCUCGCAUGUACAAAUUGUGCUGGUUUUGGUGGAGAACUACCUCUGCUGUGUAGUUUCAUUCAGUAAUAUAAAUUUCUGUUGUACCCAAAAA